GGCUCUGUGGCCGAGUGGUUUAAGGCGGCAGACUCAAGUUCUGUUAUCGUAAAGAUGCACGCGUUCGAAUCGCGUCGGAGUCA
rfam:Pichia guilliermondii ATCC 6260 scaffold_5 genomic scaffold, whole genome shotgun sequence.